UAGCUCUUUGGAUCAGUGGCGAACGGGUGCAGUAACACGUGAGCAAUCUGCCCCUGACUCUGGGAUAACAGUUGGAAACAGCUGCUAAUACCGGAUAUGAGACGUGACCGCAUGGUCGACGUUUGGAAAGAAUUUCGGUCAGGGAUGAGCUCGCGGCCUAUCAGCUUGUUGGUGAGGUAAUGGCUCACCAAGGCGUCGACGGGUAGCCGGCCUGAGAGGGUGACCGGCCACACUGGGACUGAGACACGGCCCAGACUCCUACGGGAGGCAGCAGUGGGGAAUAUUGCACAAUGGGCGAAAGCCUGAUGCAGCAACGCCGCGUGAGGGACGACGGCCUUCGGGUUGUAAACCUCUUUUAGCAGGGAAGAAGCGAAAGUGACGGUACCUGCAGAAAAAGCGCCGGCUAACUACGUGCCAGCAGCCGCGGUAAUACGUAGGGCGCAAGCGUUAUCCGGAAUUAUUGGGCGUAAAGAGCUCGUAGGCGGUUUGUCGCGUCUGCUGUGAAAACUGGAGGCUCAACCUCCAGCCUGCAGUGGGUACGGGCAGACUAGAGUGCGGUAGGGGAGAUUGGAAUUCCUGGUGUAGCGGUGGAAUGCGCAGAUAUCAGGAGGAACACCGAUGGCGAAGGCAGAUCUCUGGGCCGUAACUGACGCUGAGGAGCGAAAGGGUGGGGAGCAAACAGGCUUAGAUACCCUGGUAGUCCACCCCGUAAACGUUGGGAACUAGUUGUGGGGUCCAUUCCACGGAUUCCGUGACGCAGCUAACGCAUUAAGUUCCCCGCCUGGGGAGUACGGCCGCAAGGCUAAAACUCAAAGGAAUUGACGGGGACCCGCACAAGCGGCGGAGCAUGCGGAUUAAUUCGAUGCAACGCGAAGAACCUUACCAAGGCUUGACAUAUACGAGAACGGGCUAGAAAUAGUCAACUCUUUGGACACUCGUAAACAGGUGGUGCAUGGUUGUCGUCAGCUCGUGUCGUGAGAUGUUGGGUUAAGUCCCGCAACGAGCGCAACCCUCGUUCUAUGUUGCCAGCACGUAAUGGUGGGAACUCAUGGGAUACUGCCGGGGUCAACUCGGAGGAAGGUGGGGAUGACGUCAAAUCAUCAUGCCCCUUAUGUCUUGGGCUUCACGCAUUCUACAAUGGCCGGUACAAAGGGCUGCAAUACCGUAAGGUGGAGCGAAUCCCAAAAAGCCGGUCCCAGUUCGGAUUGAGGUCUGCAACUCGACCUCAUGAAGUCGGAGUCGCUAGUAAUCGCAGAUCAGCAACGCUGCGGUGAAUACGUUCCCGGGUCUUGUACACACCGCCCGUCUAGUCAUGAAAGUCGGUAACACCUGAAG
rnacentral:rRNA from 1 species